rnacentral:tRNA from 9 species
GUGGAUGUAGUUCAGCGGUAGAGCCCUGGUUUGUGGUACCAGUCGUCGCGGGUUCGAAUCCCGUCAUCCACCCA